rnacentral:misc_RNA from 1 species
AACGCACAUUGCGCCCCUUGGUAUUCCGAGGGGCAUGCCUGUUCGAGCGUCAUUACACCACUCAAGCCUCGCUUGGUAUUGGGCGCCGCGGCCGUCACCGUCCGCGCGCCCUAAUGUCUUCGGCUGAGCCGUCCGUCUCUAAGCGUUGUGGUUAUACAGUUCGCUUGCGAGUGCGCGCCGGUUUGUCGCCGUUAAACACCCCCAUCAAAGGUUGACCUCGGAUCAGGUAGGGAUACCCGCUGAACUUAA